GCCUGUGUGGCAUAGUGGUUUGAGUGUUGGACUACAACUCUGGAGACCAGGAUUCAAAUACCAGCUCAGCCA